rnacentral:rRNA from 1 species
GACGAACGCUGGCGGCGUGCUUAACACAUGCAAGUCGAGCGGUAAGGCCCUUUCGGGGGUACACGAGCGGCGAACGGGUGAGUAACACGUGGGUGACCUGCCCUCCAGCGUCUGGGAGUAAGCCUGGGAAACCGGGUCUAAUACUGGAUAUGACUCCAUGACGCAUGUUGUGGGGUGGAAAGGCCUUGUGCGGCUGAGGAUGGGCCCGCGGCCUAUCAGCUUGUUGGUGGGGUGGAUGGCCUACC